rnacentral:rRNA from 1 species
ACGGGGUGCAGCAGGCGCGAAAACCUUCACAAUGUGCGAAAGCGCCGAUGAGGGGAUCCCAAGUGCUUGCUCGUAAGAGUAAGCUGUUUUUAUGUCUAAAAAGCAUAGAGAGUAAGGGCUGGGUAAGACGGGUGCCAGCCGCCGCGGUAAUACCUGCAGCUCAAGUAGUGACCGCUAUUAUUGGGCCUAAAACGUUCGUAGCCGGUUUGAUAAAUGCCUGGGUAAAUAGUGUAGCUUAACUAUACGAAUUCCGGGUAGACUGUUAAACUUGAGACCGGGAGAGGCUAGAGGUACUCCUAGGGUAGAGGUGAAAUUCUGUAAUCCUAGGGGGACCACCAGUGGCGAAGGCGUCUAGCUAGAACGGGUCUGACGGUGAGGGACGAAGCCCUGGGGCACAAACCGGAUUAGAUACCCGGGUAGUCCAGGGUGUAAACGCUGCUUGCUUGAUGUUAGUUGGGCUCCGAGCCCAACAUAGUGUCGGAGAGAAGUUGUUAAGCAAGCUGCCUGGAA